rnacentral:lncRNA from 1 species
AUGUGGGGGGCUGUGCGCACCCCGUGUGGGUCUCCUUUGGGUUCCCAGACCCUGGGGGGACAGAAAGGCAGGCAGAAAGGCAGACAGAUGGGGGGGGCUGUCCCUACAAGGGGGCAUCAAUCCCAAAAAAUAGGGCAUCCAUCCCACCAAAGCCCCCGGGCAGCGGUGCUGCUGGUGGCAGGGGGCACGGCUGCCCCGCAGCCUGGAGCUAAAUGGGGUGCAGGCAAAUGGGUCGGGGCUGGCGGCAUUGGCCCCUGGCCCCCCAGCAAUGUCAGCCCCCAUGUGGCUGCAAGCCCAGCCCUGCCAUUUUGGCACCGUUCGCUUCCUCAUCCUGCAGCUCGAAGGCUGCAGGAGGGCAAGGGGCCGUGCCGCUGGGUGCCUCCGGGACCCUCGGCGAGCCCACGCGGGGCAGCACGGGGCGCAUGGGCAGCCCCACGAAGCCCAGAGGCGGCCCCGACCCCGCGGGGGCCCUUUUGUGCGGGAGAGGCAGUGGAGCAGCGCGAGGAAGGAGGAAUUCCUCCGGAGAUCAAACGCCUUCGCCCACUGGACACCGACGUCAAAACAAACACGGCUCCCAUGGCGGGGCCGGCAGCCGCGCGGGGGAGAAGAUCCAAUUUCCUCCUUUGUUCCUGGAUUAUUAUUAUUAUUUUUUUUUUUUUGCAGGGGGCGAGGAGGAGGGGGAGAGGCAGGGAAAGGGCCAUAAAUCACAGCCUGACAGAGGAGAAAGGAGCCGCGGGGCCGGCUGCAGGUGGGGGCGACCGCCCCACUUCGCCCCCUCGGCCGGGCUGGGGCCGGUGUUGCCCCCGGUGCCCCCCAGCAGCAACCCCCAGCCCGGCCUGGCCCCAUCCUGCCCGGCCAUGGGGCUCAGCAGCCCUCCCCUCCUCAAUCCCAUGCUAUCGCCCCCUGCCCGUGGCCACCCCCUUGCCCUGCCUGAGCUCCGGGGCACCUCGGCACAGCCGCGCUCGCAGGUACCGCGUGAGCACGGAUCCCUCCAGACAAGAGGAAAUGGAGGUUUUAUUUAUGGCCGGAGCUGUAAUCCAUCUCCCUCUGCUGCUCCGUGGCCUUAGCGCUCCGCUUUAUUUAUUUAUUUCCUUCUUUUCCAGCCUGCUUUGCUUCGCCUUCCCUUCAGCAGCAGCAGCCACCCCGACCGAGGAGCCGGCCCCGGCGCAUGGGCUGGGAAUGCCAAGGCCGGCGGCACGCGGCGGUGCCAGCAGCGUUCACCCGCAGCCCUCCCCCCAUAUGCCCCCCACCCCAUUCACACUUCCACCCCCUCGCCCUGCCUGGGGGUCCCCCAUGGGGGCAGCCCCCCCCCGGCCCCGUGCCCUUCCCUAUGGACUUUCUCCCCAAGCCAAGGUGAAAGGUGCCAGGAGACACCAGGGCCACCGCGGUGGCAUCACCGGGAGAGUUUGGCCCCAAGGUGAAAGGCGAAGGCGCAGCGAUAGCACGGGGCUGUUCCCGGGUCAACCACCUUUCCACACAGUUUAUUCCUUCGUUAAUAAUUAA